rnacentral:rRNA from 1 species
UACAGAGGGUGCAAGCGUUAAUCGGAUUUACUGGGCGUAAAGCGCGCGUAGGUGGCCAAUUAAGUCAAAUGUGAAAUCCCCGAGCUUAACUUGGGAAUUGCAUUCGAUACUGGUUGGCCAGAGUAUGGGAGAGGAUGGUAGAAUUCCAGGUGUAGCGGUGAAAUGCGUAGAGAUCUGGAGGAAUACCGAUGGCGAAGGCAGCCAUCUGGCCUAAUACUGACACUGAGGUGCGAAAGCAUGGGGAGCAAACAGG